GCCAGAUUCUGCACAGAGCUACAGUAGUGUCAUUAACUCCGGAGUGACUCCCUUGACUUGCUCCAGGUUACUGCUGAGAAGAGAAUAUGGUCCUUGUCUCGUGUUACUAAGUGUCAUCAGCGUAAAGGAGAAUCCGGUCUACUGAGCAUGGUGGCCUGAACCCAGGCUGGGAAGCUGAGUUCUAAGACUGACUCCGACAACAUCUGUGAUCUUGGCUCUUAACAAGCUGUAGCCGCAGCCAGCAUCUGGCCCGUUAUCAAUUGCUGUGGGCGCUACAUGGAAAGCAAACUGAGGAUUUGCAGAGAGGUGUCUCCGGUGGCACAGACCUUCUGCUGAUCUGAAAAACUGCUGGCCAAAGCGUGAUAAUGGGCAGCGGUGAUACACCAGUUGACAUCCUCCUGUGACGAGGAAGAUGCAGGCCUCACAGAUGACUUGGAAACAAAAUGAUAUCACAGGCAUCAAGAGGAGAAUCUGAUUUCUAUUAAAUCAAUGAGAGUUAGAUACCUCCAGACAGGGCUGGCUCCAGCGGC